rnacentral:rRNA from 1 species
CCUACGGGUUGCAGCAGUGAGGAAUAUUGGUCAAUGGACGCAAGUCUGAACCAGCCAUGCCGCGUGCAGGAAGACGGCGCGAUGAGUUGUAAACUGCUUUUGUACGAGGGUAAACGCAGAUAAGUGUAUCUGUCUGAAAGUAGCGUACGAAUAAGGAUCGGCUAACUCCGUGCCAGCAGCCGCGGUAAUACGGAGGAUUCAAGCGUUAUCCGGAGUUAUUGGGUUUAAAGGGUGCGUAGGCGGUCGGAUAAGUUAGAGGUGCAAUCCCGAGGCUCAACUUCGGAAUUGCCUCUGAUACUGUUCGGCUAGAGCGUAGUUGCGGUAGGCUGCAUGUCUGUUGUAGCGG